GGUCUCGUGGUCUAGUUGGUUACGACGUCUGCUUCACACGCAGAAGGUCCCCAGUUCGAGCCUGGGCGAGAUCA
rnacentral:tRNA from 1 species